GACGAACGCUGGCGGCGUGCUUAACACAUGCAAGUCGAACGGAAAGGCCCUGCUUUUGUGGGGUGCUCGAGUGGCGAACGGGUGAGUAACACGUGAGUAACCUGCCCUUGUCUUUGGGAUAACUUCAGGAAACUGGGGCUCAUACCGGAUAGGAGCUCCUGCUCCAUGGUGGGGGUUGGUAAGUUUCGGCGGUUGGGGAUGGACUCGCGGGUUAUCAGCUUGUUGGUGGGGUAGUGGCUUACCAAGGCUUUGACGGGUAGCCGGCCUGAGAGGGUAACCGGCCACAUUGGGACUGAGAUACGGCGCAGACUCCUACGGGAGGCAGCAGUGGGGAAUAUUGCACAAUGGGCGGAAGCCUGAUGCAGCAACGCCGCGUGCGGGAUGACGGCCUUCGGGUUGUAAACCGCUUUCGCCUGUGACGAAGCGUGAGUGACGGUAAUGGGUAAAGAAGCACCGGCUAACUACGUG
rnacentral:rRNA from 1 species